rnacentral:rRNA from 1 species
UUUGGUUAAGUUAGAAAGGGCGCACGGUGGAUGCCUUGACACUAGGAGUCGAUGAAGGACGGGACUAACGCCGAUAUGCUUCGGGGAGCUGUAAGUAAGCUUUGAUCCGAAGAUUUCCGAAUGGGGAAACCCACCAUACGUAAUGGUAUGGUAUCCUUAUCUGAAUACAUAGGGUAAGGAAGACAGACCCAGGGAACUGAAACAUCUAAGUACCUGGAGGAAGAGAAAGCAAAUGCGAUUUCCUGAGUAGCGGCGAGCGAAACGGAACAUAGCCCAAACCAAGAGGCUUGCCUCUUGGGGUUGUAGGACAUUCUAUACGGAGUUACAAAGGAACGAGGUAGACGAAGCGACCUGGAAAGGUCCGUCGUAGAGGGUAACAACCCCGUAGUCGAAACUUCGUUCUCUCUUGAAUGUAUCCUGAGUACGGCGGAACACGUGAAAUUCCGUCGGAAUCUGGGAGGACCAUCUCCCAAGGCUAAAUACUCCCUAGUGAUCGAUAGUGAACCAGUACCGUGAGGGAAAGGUGAAAAGCACCCCGGAAGGGGAGUGAAAGAGAUCCUGAAACCGUGUGCCUACAAAUAGUCAGAGCCCGUUAACGGGUGAUGGCGUGCCUUUUGUAGAAUGAACCGGCGAGUUACGAUCCCGUGCGAGGUUAAGCUGAAGAGGCGGAGCCGCAGCGAAAGCGAGUCUGAAUAGGGCGUUUAGUACGUGGUCGUAGACCCGAAACCAGGUGAUCUACCCAUGUCCAGGGUGAAGUUCAGGUAACACUGAAUGGAGGCCCGAACCCACGCACGUUGAAAAGUGCGGGGAUGAGGUGUGGGUAGCGGAGAAAUUCCAAUCGAACCUGGAGAUAGCUGGUUCUCCCCGAAAUAGCUUUAGGGCUAGCCUUAAGUGUAAGAGUCUUGGAGGUAGAGCACUGAUUGGACUAGGGGUCCUCAUCGGAUUACCGAAUUCAGUCAAACUCCGAAUGCCAAUGACUUAUCCUUAGGAGUCAGACUGCGAGUGAUAAGAUCCGUAGUCAAAAGGGAAACAGCCCAGACCGCCAGCUAAGGUCCCAAAGUGUGUAUUAAGUGGAAAAGGAUGUGGAGUUGCUUAGACAACUAGGAUGUUGGCUUAGAAGCAGCCACCAUUUAAAGAGUGCGUAAUAGCUCACUAGUCGAGUGACUCUGCGCCGAAAAUGUACCGGGGCUAAAUACACCACCGAAGCUGCGGAUUGAUACCAAUGGUAUCAGUGGUAGGGGAGCGUUCUAAGGACAGUGAAGUCAGACCGGAAGGACUGGUGGAGUGCUUAGAAGUGAGAAUGCCGGUAUGAGUAGCGAAAGACGGGUGAGAAUCCCGUCCACCGAAUGCCUAAGGUUUCCUGAGGAAGGCUCGUCCGCUCAGGGUUAGUCAGGACCUAAGCCGAGGCCGACAGGCGUAGGCGAUGGACAACAGGUUGAUAUUCCUGUACCACCUCUUUAUCGUUUGAGCAAUGGAGGGACGCAGAAGGAUAGAAGAAGCGUGCGAUUGGUUGUGCACGUCUAAGCAGUUAGGCUGAUAAGUAGGCAAAUCCGCUUAUCGUAAAGGCUGAGCUGUGAUGGGGAAGCUCCUUAUGGAGCGAAGUCUUUGAUUCCCCGCUGCCAAGAAAAGCUUCUAGCGAGAUAAAAGGUGCCUGUACCGCAAACCGACACAGGUAGGCGAGGAGAGAAUCCUAAGGUGUGCGAGAGAACUCUGGUUAAGGAACUCGGCAAAAUGACCCCGUAACUUCGGGAGAAGGGGUGCUUUCUUAACGGAAAGCCGCAGUGAAUAGGCCCAAGCGACUGUUUAGCAAAAACACAGCUCUCUGCGAAGCCGUAAGGCGAAGUAUAGGGGGUGACACCUGCCCGGUGCUGGAAGGUUAAGGAGAGGGGUUAGCGUAAGCGAAGCUCUGAACUGAAGCCCCAGUAAACGGCGGCCGUAACUAUAACGGUCCUAAGGUAGCGAAAUUCCUUGUCGGGUAAGUUCCGACCCGCACGAAAGGUGUAACGAUUUGGGCACUGUCUCAACCAGAGACUCGGUGAAAUUAUAGUACCUGUGAAGAUGCAGGUUACCCGCGACAGGACGGAAAGACCCCGUGGAGCUUUACUGUAGCCUGAUAUUGAAUUUUGGUACAGUUUGUACAGGAUAGGCGGGAGCCAUUGAAACCGGAGCGCUAGCUUCGGUGGAGGCGCUGGUGGGAUACCGCCCUGACUGUAUUGAAAUUCUAACCUACGGGUCUUAUCGACCCGGGAGACAGUGUCAGGUGGGCAGUUUGACUGGGGCGGUCGCCUCCUAAAGUGUAACGGAGGCGCCCAAAGGUUCCCUCAGAAUGGUUGGAAAUCAUUCGUAGAGUGCAAAGGCAUAAGGGAGCUUGACUGCGAGACCUACAAGUCGAGCAGGGACGAAAGUCGGGCUUAGUGAUCCGGUGGUUCCGCAUGGAAGGGCCAUCGCUCAACGGAUAAAAGCUACCCCGGGGAUAACAGGCUUAUCUCCCCCAAGAGUCCACAUCGACGGGGAGGUUUGGCACCUCGAUGUCGGCUCAUCGCAUCCUGGGGCUGUAGUCGGUCCCAAGGGUUGGGCUGUUCGCCCAUUAAAGCGGUACGCGAGCUGGGUUCAGAACGUCGUGAGACAGUUCGGUCCCUAUCCGUCGUGGGCGUAGGAAAUUUGAGAGGAGCUGUCCUUAGUACGAGAGGACCGGGAUGGACGCACCGCUGGUGUACCAGUUGUUCUGCCAAGGGCAUAGCUGGGUAGCUAUGUGCGGAAGGGAUAAGUGCUGAAAGCAUCUAAGCAUGAAGCCCCCCUCAAGAUGAGAUUUCCCAUAGCGUAAGCUAGUAAGAUCCCUGAAAGAUGAUCAGGUUGAUAGGUUCGAGGUGGAAGCAUGGUGACAUGUGGAGCUGACGAAUACUAAUAGAUCGAGGACUUAACCAUAUAA